CAUCUUUUGUGUGGGGAUUCCGGAUGCUGCCGCUGUUCCCAGCGCUGCUCCUCAGGUCCUGAUGUUGGAUUGUCCGUCCCUGAAGGAGCUGUGACAGAGUUUGAAGGAGGACGCCCUAUGAAUAGGAAGAGGAAUCCCACCUGAGAGAAGAUCACUGUGGCCUGAACCCUCUCAGGACUGCUUCAGAGCAGAGCUAAUGUGUUGAGAGUUUUGGUCAGGAGAAUCUGGGGUCGAGCCACAACAGUUCUCUCCUUAAUCCACUCCAUUCCCUCUUCUCCCAGCUAAGCUGCCAGAGUGCACUGUGCAUUUCCAAGAGCAAGAAAAGGUAGAUAAAUCUCUGUGGCAGAGAGAGGAGACCAGCUAGCACUUUUCCCAUUGUUGACAGAAUUCUCCUUUGGCAGAGCCCUGAGAGGUUGAGAUUUCCUUUCCAUUUUCCAUGCUGUGAUAGGCAAUAUUGUGGCCCACAUCCUUCAGUGCUCCAUUUAUAUCUGGAUUGAAGUAGAGAAGUGAAUGUGGGGAACCUGAAGAAAGCCGCACAGAGGCUACACAAACCAGGACAAGGAUAUUUAAAGUAUAAAAAUGGAGGCUUUGGAAAGAAAUAGCUGGUUUCUAUUCUUACAACACAAACUUUCUAGUGGUCACCAUCUCCAUGAAAAUGGAACAACAUAAUUGUUUCCAGUUAGAAGCAAGAGAGUAAAAGUUUAUUUCCAUUAGACUGGCCCAAACCGGUCUUCUUUCCAGAUGGUUGUUUAGUCGAUGACUCUGCUCGGGACUCAGCCUGAGUGUCUGUGGACUGCUCGGCUUUGGCAAACAAAACAAAGCAACAACAACAACAACAAAAACACAAAACAAAGAAACACCCCCUGAAAUUUUUGACAUGCAGAUAUAUGCAGUGCUUUUUCCUUUCCUUUUCUUUUGUAUCUACAUUUUGCUUUCUACUCUGAAC